UGGAUUUUGCAGGAGGGCGCACGACCGGGCUUUGCUCAGGCCGCGCGCCUACCUGUUUUUUGUCGGGGACUACGCCACUCUUAACUGGGGGGCGCUAGGACGCGGCUCGUUUACUUUGAAAAAAUUAGAGUGUUCAAAGCAGGCCUUUGCUUGAAUACAUUAGCAUGGAAUAAUGGAAUAGGACUUUGGUUCUAUUUUGUUGGUUUCUGGAACCGAAGUAAUGAUUAAUAGGGAUAGUUGGGGGCGUUUAUAUUUCCAUGUCAGAGGUGAAAUUCUUGGAUUUUGGAAAGAUAAACUUCUGCGAAAGCAUUCGCCAAGGAUGUUUUCAUUAAUCAAGAACGAAAGUUAGGGGAUCGAAGACGAUCAGAUACCGUCGUAGUCUUAACCAUAAACUAUGCCGACUAGGGAUCAGUGGACGUUAUUU
rnacentral:rRNA from 1 species